rnacentral:rRNA from 1 species
GGUUAGCGGCGGGGCUAUACUGCAAGUCGAGCGGACAGAUGGGAGCUUGCUCCCUGAUGUUAGCGGCGGACGGGUGAGUAACACGUGGGUAACCUGCCUGUAAGACUGGGAUAACUCCGGGAAACCGGGGCUAAUACCGGAUGGUUGUUUGAACCGCAUGGUUCAAACAUAAAAGGUGGCUUCGGCUACCACUUACAGAUGGACCCGCGGCGCAUUAGCUAGUUGGUGAGGUAACGGCUCACCAAGGCAACGAUGCGUAGCCGACCUGAGAGGGUGAUCGGCCACACUGGGACUGAGACACGGCCCAGACUCCUACGGGAGGCAGCAGUAGGGAAUCUUCCGCAAUGGACGAAAGUCUGACGGAGCAACGCCGCGUGAGUGAUGAAGGUUUUCGGAUCGUAAAGCUCUGUUGUUAGGGAAGAACAAGUACCGUUCGAAUAGGGCGGUACCUUGACGGUACCUAACCAGAAAGCCACGGCUAACUACGUGCCAGCAGCCGCGGUAAUACGUAGGUGGCAAGCGUUGUCCGGAAUUAUUGGGCGUAAAGGGCUCGCAGGCGGUUUCUUAAGUCUGAUGUGAAAGCCCCCGGCUCAACCGGGGAGGGUCAUUGGAAACUGGGGAACUUGAGUGCAGAAGAGGAGAGUGGAAUUCCACGUGUAGCGGUGAAAUGCGUAGAGAUGUGGAGGAACACCAGUGGCGAAGGCGACUCUCUGGUCUGUAACUGACGCUGAGGAGCGAAAGCGUGGGGAGCGAACAGGAUUAGAUACCCUGGUAGUCCACGCCGUAAACGAUGAGUGCUAAGUGUUAGGGGGUUUCCGCCCCUUAGUGCUGCAGCUAACGCAUUAAGCACUCCGCCUGGGGAGUACGGUCGCAAGACUGAAACUCAAAGGAAUUGACGGGGGCCCGCACAACCGUUG